CGCACAAUUACAUCUGUCUCAACAUUACGCAAAAAAACAAUAACGAUUUUCCUUUCCGUUGAGUUUGUGUAAUAUUCACAUCGAGCAAAUGUGAAUAUUACACAGAAACAGCUGCAACCAACUGGUUGUGACAACGUUGUGUACGAUUACACAAAACCGAUGUGAUAUCGCAAAUGUUUGCGAUGCAAUAUUAAGUCUCGCAACACUGCUGUCACCGGCCGCAGUCUCGCGAUCAAGUAGCCAUAUUGUUUUUGUUUUAUCUCAGAGUGGCUGCUGUUUUUUCUACUUUUGAGAGGUGGCGAAAAAGCAUUCUCCUCCCGACGAGCGCAGGAAUUGGAAUCCAAGCGGAUGAUCACGGGGGGCAGUCCGGCUGUCACCCGGAAAGAUUUCGCUUUCUCCUUUCAAAUUAAGCGUUCCAGGUUCCAGUAAAUCCCAAAGUUGCUCUCUUAGCCGAUGAUAUCACAAUACAGCAACUUCCGGACAUUGCAAAAGUGUGCUCCGCUGGAGGAACCCUAUCAAGCUGAGGAAGAAAUGAAAGAGCAACAAACAACGAGCCAUCCGGGCCGGAAUGUAAAUGGUGAGAGCUGUCAGGAACAAUGUUUUGAGAAGAGACAGUAUCCCGUGUUGGCUGUCCGGCGGAUAACAGAAGGGCUGGGAACUGGUGGCACAGGAGUACAUCCGGCAUGGACAGUUUGAUCGAGUACGUUGGUGAGGCGAUCAGCAAUGAGAGACAGGCGUGAAGGUUACAUCAAAAGUGGCCAAGAAUGAUGAGAACACUUUCCUCGACUGUUUCCUUACGGUGGAUUCCGAGCUGACAAUCGAUACGUGUCCCAAGGAGAACCUCACGCGUUUCAUCAAUCACCCGUGCGAGUCAAACUGUCGGUCGGGUUGUUCGCAAUCGAGGACAUCAAAUCGGUCGAGGAACUAACCUUCAAACAUUUUCGGAAGCAAAAGUCCCGAGAAGAAGAUCAGCCACUGCAACGCGAGAAAAUAUUCCGGCUUCAUCGGGCAAAAGUGUCGUCCUCCGUCGGGCAAAAAGUCCAAAAGAUCGAAAAUCCUCCACAGCAGCGGACAAGAGGCGGAAAAGUGCCAUUGAAAAGGCGUCGAAGGACAAAACGCCGGGAGGUAGCAAGAGCUAGAAGUAAACAUCAGUGGUAAUGGAAUCGCUGAGGUCCUGUCGGGAGUGAAAGAUCUGAACCGGAUGUCCACCAGCCUUCGCUGCUGAUACGUUGGCCGUAGGCGAGAUAAUGUAGGAUGGAGAAUGCUUCGAAAGGCGAGGUGCUUUGCAGAAUGACGACGCCGCUGUCUUCAAGCGGUACUUUAUUCACCACUGCCGUCAGAAUGGUCGCCCUAGCUACUUUGUGCCCGCAGAACCAACUUGAAUUAUUAUAUAAUAAUCAUUAUUAUAAGUUAAUUAAAUUUUAUAAAAAAAAUUCUACAAUACAAAUAAA